ACGGGUGAGUAACACGUGGGCAACCUGCCCCUAGCACUGGGAUAACUCCGGGAAACCGGGGCUAAUACCGGAUAUGACCUCGGAAGGCAUCUUCUGAGGUGUAAAGGAUUCUGGCUAGGGAUGGGCCCGCGGCCUAUCAGCUUGUUGGUGGGGUAACGGCCCACCAAGGCGACGACGGGUAGCCGGCCUGAGAGGGCGACCGGCCACACUGGGACUGAGACACGGCCCAGACUCCUACGGGAGGCAGCAGUGGGGAAUAUUGCACAAUGGGCGCAAGCCUGAUGCAGCGACGCCGCGUGAGGGAUGACGGCCUUCGGGUUGUAAACCUCUUUCAGCAGGGACGAAGCGAAAGUGACGGUACCUGCAGAAGAAGCACCGGCCAACUACGUGCCAGCAGCCGCGGUAAUACGUAGGGUGCAAGCGUUGUCCGGAAUUAUUGGGCGUAAAGAGCUCGUAGGCGGUUUGUCACGUCGGCUGUGAAAACCUAGGGCUCAACCCUGGGCCUGCAGCCGAUACGGGCAAACUAGAAUUCGGUAGGGGAGACUGGAAUUCCUGGUGUAGCGGUGAAAUGCGCAGA
rnacentral:rRNA from 1 species